UACGUAGGGGGCAAGCGUUAUCCGGAAUUACUGGGUGUAAAGGGAGCGUAGACGGUAAUGUAAGUCUGGAGUGAAAGGCGGGGGCCCAACCCCCGGACUGCUCUGGAAACUAUGUUACUAGAGUGCAGGAGAGGUAAGCGGAAUUCCUAGUGUAGCGGUGAAAUGCGUAGAUAUUAGGAGGAACACCAGUGGCGAAGGCGGCUUACUGGACUGUAACUGACGUUGAGGCUCGAAAGCGUGGGGAGCAAACGGG
rnacentral:rRNA from 1 species